GCCAGGAAGCCUAUGAGAACUGGGAUCGGUGACGCAGUUUAGACAGGUAGGGAGGCCAGGCGGAAUCCAUCGUCCUUGUCCCUUUGAGGAUCCCUAUGGGCUACUCUCCACCCGUAGCGGAACAAGUAGCGAGUAGUCGGGUGGCUGAAGGGGUCGGCUGUUUCACGGCGCAACCUGCACACCUUUCCUUACCUCGUUGCUCGCUUCCCUCUCUGAAGUCAUAGCGAGGGGGGAAGGGAGGGCCGAGAAAAGUCCCACACCCCGCCAGCGAGCAGUCCCAGCCAACUUCCCCCAGCCCGCACCACCGCGCACAAAAUAGUCGCACUGACAGCGCCGCCUGCGUCUCGGCUGUCCCAACCAAUCAACUGCAGGGCAGCGCUCCCAUGACGGCCGCCAUGACACCAAGGGCAACACAGGAAAUUUCCCUUCAGGUGAAACUGUUGAUAGGCGUUUUCGGGGAAAUCUAAUCAAACUGCCCUAGCCUAGAUAUCCCCAGGGUAGCCUGAUCUCGGAUCCCAGAAGCUAAAAAGGGCCAGCUCUGCUUAAUGUGUAGAUAGACAACCUCCAAGGAACACCAGAGAUGAGACGUGGAGUCGGACGAUAGCAGACUGCUGUUUUCAAUAUAUAUAACUUAAGUGCUGCAUGAAUCCAAUUUGAAAUUUUAACUUCUGGAGUUAUACUUUAUACGGUAUUACUAGUAUCAAAAUGUUGCUUGCAAGUUUCUUAAUUGCAAUACUACAGCCAAACAGGACCUGCAUUUCCUACUGCAUUCCUGGUUAACAUCCUCCCCACCCCACAAUCAUUUACACAUCAUGUAGGAAUAAUUACUUGUUCAAAAAGAUAUUCAUACUAUUCUUACUAGAUAGAUAUAGGCAAGGGUCCAAGCAGUUUUCUGAUGAAGUCUAAUACUGUUUUAAUCUCCUGCAGUCUGAAAAAUACUUUAUAUUUCUGCACAACAGUAUUGUGUAACACUCUAGAGCCUAUUUUAAAUGCUUAGUAAAGGUUGAAAACAGUAUUGUGUUACCAUUUUAGAACAGCUUCAUUAGGUCAACCUAGUGUAAAUUUAACCACGAAUGUCUAUGAUCUUUCAAAAUCUAUCUGUAAUACAAGUUUUCAAAAUAUAAAAUUUAGUUACGCAGUA